UUUAUGGUAAAAUAAUCUGGCAUAUAAGUAAAUCCCACCGGCUCACAACUUUGUAAGGUGCUGAAGAGGAUGAAGCUCCUUAUCCCUGGAAGACCAGUGUGUUUUUUUACGGAAUGUCUAAAGCUUUAUGACCCAAGAAUACCUUUCUCAAGGACCCAGGAGCUACUUCUUGGAAAUGCAAUCUUCAAAUGAGACAGAACCCCACGUGUAUCUCCAGUUUCUUUGGGAAGGCUUAUGAUGAAAAAAUACAAUUGGCAUCACAAGACCUAUACCUCAUGGAUCCUGGAAUUUCCUUCUCCACUUCCUUCUUAAAUCCUGAAUGGAACUGUAAGAAGAAUAUAAGAAAGCAAAAAAAACACAGAGGAGGCAUUGACUAUGCAAAUUUGCCAAUAACUAGGGAUUCGUACUCACUUAUCAUUGGAGGAGUGAUAUUAUACCUCAUUUUAGCCUCGCAGAAACCCUUAGAGCUGGCUUCACUGAAAGUCAAAUCCAGUGACAACUCAGCCAGAAUAAAUGAGUAACGUGCUAAGUAAUGUUACGCAGAUUCUUCUGUGAAAGGAAUUCAAGACAGCCUUGACAUCCAUCUAUCAAGCAUGGUUAGUACUAAUAAAAUCAGGCCUCCCACAGUGCAGGUGGAUGGGCUGGCUGACCUUGUAUCUCAAAUGAUUCAUGGUAAUUUGUGGUUCCUCAUGAUAAUUAGAAGUCCUGCAGGAGGAAAAAACUAAAUAACUCCCUCCAACUGAUGCACGUUGUCAAGAAACAGACCUUAUAUACCUGUAUUUCUCUGUGCCCCUCUAAUCAAGUGUCUUGAGCAUCUCAUUUUAGAAGAUGGCAAAGUGCAUAAGAUAGAAGCUAGGAAGAAACUGGAGAUGGCUUAAAUUUCAUAUCUGCCCUUGAAUCUUCAUGUGGAAGCACCCACACUUGACCAUCAGCAGAGUUGAGGCCAAGACAUAUA